rnacentral:rRNA from 1 species
UACCGGCAGCUCUAGUGGUAGCAAUUUUUAUUGGGCCUAAAGCGUCCGUAGCCGGUUUAAUAAGUCUCUGGUGAAAUCCUGCAGCUUAACUGUGGGAAUUGCUUGAGAUACUAUUAGACUUGAGAUCGGGAGAGGUUAGAGGUACUCCCAGGGUAGAGGUGAAAUUCUGUAAUCCUGGGAGGACCGCCUGUUGCGAAGGCGUCUAACUGGAACGAAUCUGACGGUGAGGGACGACAGUUAGGGGCGCGAA